rnacentral:rRNA from 1 species
CAUAGAAAUGUGGAUUAACCCUUUAUAGUACGACUGAUUGGCAUCCUGGUUGCUAAAACUCCGGUGGUUAGAGAUGGGCGUGCGUCUGAUUAGGUAGUUGGUAGUAAAGGCCUACCAAGCCAACGAUCAGUAGCUGAUGUGAGAGCAUGAUCAGCCACACGCACUGAGACACGGGCCCGACUCCUACGGGAGGCAGCAGUAAGGAAUAUUGGUCAAUGGGCAAGUCUGAACCAGCCAUGCCGCGUGAAGGAUGAAGGUCCUCUGGAUUGUAAACUUCUUAUCUGGGACGAAACACUGUUUUUCUAAACAGCUUGACGGUACCAGAGAAAUAAGCAGGCUAACUCCGUGCCAGCAGCCGCGGUAAUACGGAGGGUGCAAGCGUUAUCCGGAUUCUGGGUUUAAAGGGUGCGUAGGCGGGUAAUUAAGUCCGUGGUGAAAUCCUGCAGCUUAAGCAGAACUGCCGUGGAUACUAGUUACCUUGAAUGUUGUUGAGGUGAGUGGAACAAGUCGUAGCGGUGAAAUGCUUAGAGAUGACUUAGAACACCGAUUGCGAAGGCAGCUCACUAAAAAUAUUGACGCUGAGGCACGAAAGCGUGGGUAGCAAACAGGAUUAGAUACCCUGGUACCACGCCCUAAACGAUGGAUACUCGACAUCAGCGAUAUUACGGUUGGUGUCUGAGCGA